UUAAAUUGAAGAGUUUGAUCAUGGCUCAGAUUGAACGCUGGCGGCAGGCCUAACACAUGCAAGUCGAACGGUAGCACAGAGAGCUUGCUCUCGGGUGACGAGUGGCGGACGGGUGAGUAAUGUCUGGGAAACUGCCUGAUGGAGGGGGAUAACUACUGGAAACGGUAGCUAAUACCGCAUAACGUCGCAAGACCAAAGAGGGGGACCUUCGGGCCUCUUGCCAUCAGAUGUGCCCAGAUGGGAUUAGCUAGUAGGUGGGGUAACGGCUCACCUAGGCGACGAUCCCUAGCUGGUCUGAGAGGAUGACCAGCCACACUGGAACUGAGACACGGUCCAGACUCCUACGGGAGGCAGCAGUGGGGAAUAUUGCACAAUGGGCGCAAGCCUGAUGCAGCCAUGCCGCGUGUAUGAAGAAGGCCUUCGGGUUGUAAAGUACUUUCAGCGGGGAGGAAGGUGUUGUGGUUAAUAACCGCAGCAAUUGACGUUACCCGCAGAAGAAGCACCGGCUAACUCCGUGCCAGCAGCCGCGGUAAUACGGAGGGUGCAAGCGUUAAUCGGAAUUACUGGGCGUAAAGCGCACGCAGGCGGUCUGUCAAGUCGGAUGUGAAAUCCCCGGGCUCAACCUGGGAACUGCAUUCGAAACUGGCAGGCUAGAGUCUUGUAGAGGGGGGUAGAAUUCCAGGUGUAGCGGUGAAAUGCGUAGAGAUCUGGAGGAAUACCGGUGGCGAAGGCGGCCCCCUGGACAAAGACUGACGCUCAGGUGCGAAAGCGUGGGGAGCAAACAGGAUUAGAUACCCUGGUAGUCCACGCCGUAAACGAUGUCGACUUGGAGGUUGUGCCCUUGAGGCGUGGCUUCCGGAGCUAACGCGUUAAGUCGACCGCCUGGGGAGUACGGCCGCAAGGUUAAAACUCAAAUGAAUUGACGGGGGCCCGCACAAGCGGUGGAGCAUGUGGUUUAAUUCGAUGCAACGCGAAGAACCUUACCUACUCUUGACAUCCAGAGAACUUUCCAGAGAUGGAUUGGUGCCUUCGGGAACUCUGAGACAGGUGCUGCAUGGCUGUCGUCAGCUCGUGUUGUGAAAUGUUGGGUUAAGUCCCGCAACGAGCGCAACCCUUAUCCUUUGUUGCCAGCGGUCCGGCCGGGAACUCAAAGGAGACUGCCAGUGAUAAACUGGAGGAAGGUGGGGAUGACGUCAAGUCAUCAUGGCCCUUACGAGUAGGGCUACACACGUGCUACAAUGGCGCAUACAAAGAGAAGCGACCUCGCGAGAGCAAGCGGACCUCAUAAAGUGCGUCGUAGUCCGGAUUGGAGUCUGCAACUCGACUCCAUGAAGUCGGAAUCGCUAGUAAUCGUAGAUCAGAAUGCUACGGUGAAUACGUUCCCGGGCCUUGUACACACCGCCCGUCACACCAUGGGAGUGGGUUGCAAAAGAAGUAGGUAGCUUAACCUUCGGGAGGGCGCUUACCACUUUGUGAUUCAUGACUGGGGUGAAGUCGUAACAAGGUAACCGUAGGGGAACCUGCGGUUGGAUCACCUCCUUA
rnacentral:rRNA from 1 species